rnacentral:rRNA from 1 species
UACGUAGGGUGCGAGCGUUAAUCGGAUUUACUGGGCGUAAAGCGUGCGCAGGCGGCCCGUUAAGACAGGUGUGAAAUCCCUGGGCUCAACCUAGGAAUUGCGCUUGUGACUGGCGGGCUCGAGUGCGGUAGAGGGGGGUGGAAUUCCUGGUGUAGCAGUGAAAUGCGUAGAGAUCAGGAGGAACACCGAUGGCGAAGGCAGCCCCCUGGGCCUGUACUGACGCUCAUGCACGAAAGCGUGGGGAGCAAACAGG